rnacentral:sRNA from 1 species
CGAACAUCCUCCCGCCGUGCAGCGUCGUUC